AGAGUUUGAUCAUGGCUCAGGACGAACGCUGGCGGCGUGCCUAAUACAUGCAAGUCGAGCGGGGAUUAUGCUUGAUCGCUUCGGUGAGACGGCAUAUAUCCUAGCGGCGGACGGGUGAGUAACGCGUGGGUAAUCUACCUCGUAGUUCGGGAUAACAGGCCGAAAGGCUUGCUAAUACCGGAUGAGUUCAUGCUUAUGCAUAUAGGCAUGAAGAAAGGGCUAGCCCGCUAUGAGAUGAGCCCGCGUCCCAUUAGCUUGUUGGUGGGGUAAUGGCCUACCAAGGCAACGAUGGGUAGCCGGCCUGAGAGGGUGUACGGCCACACUGGGACUGAGACACGGCCCAGACUCCUACGGGGGGCAGCAGUAGGGAAUUUUCGGCAAUGGGCGAAAGCCUGACCGAGCGACGCCGCGUGAGGGACGAAGGCCUUCGGGUUGUAAACCUCUGUCUGGGGGGAUGAGAACGGACGGUACCCCCGGAGGAAGCCCCGGCUAACUACGUGCCAGCAGCCGCGGUAAUANUCCCGCGGCCANGGCGGCC
rnacentral:rRNA from 1 species